CCAAAUAUCUAAACGGAGAAAUUCAAUAUUACCGUUAAAAAGUAAUGUGCACUUUUCUCUUAGUAAGACGCCGUGAUCCAUUAGAAAUUGGUAUACGCCAAGUAUACAGUAGGUCAUCAAUAGGCCAGUGUGAAGUUUAUUGGAACAAAUGGCAUGGCCUUUCACGGUUGUGUGUAUUGUCUGGUAAGCGCAUUGAUACCUGUAAUGACUGUCUGAUGGAUUUUAGAGACCAUUAUCAAUGAUGCUAUGGCAUCAACGCUUGUCGUAUUUGAUAUGUGUCCGAUCAACGGCGGUUAAAUUUGGGAUACCUUUUGGACCCGUCUUGAAACACGGACCAAGGAGUCUAUCUAGUAUGCGAGUAAAUGGAUAAUUUAUGAAAUCUAUUUGCAUAAUAAACUUGACUGUUUUAUGGGACUACGAUUAAUAACUUUGCGGUUAUUUUUCUUCCAUCCCGGGGUAUUUUCAUCCACAUAUAAGCAAUUAUAUGGAAAAUAUACCAUGAGCACACUGGAUACGACCCGAAAGAUGGUGAACUAUGCCUGAUCAGGUCGAAGUCAGGGGAAACCCUGAUGGAGGACCGAAGCAGUUCUGACGUGCAAAUCGAUUGUCAGAAUUGGGCAUAGGGGCGAAAGACCAAUCGAACCAUC
rnacentral:rRNA from 1 species